rnacentral:lncRNA from 1 species
GGCCUGUAGCUUAGGGUCCACAGUGUACAUAUCGGGGUUGCUACCCCCAGAAGCACCCCAAACACACCAGAAACAGGGGAGUACCAAAAAGAGUAAACAGAGAACAAAACAGAGCAUAAAUAAACGAAUCAAAGAUCACUAAAUAGCCUUCAUGGGUGCCGAUGGGCUAGACACAGAUGAGAUCACCAGAAUAUGAUCCAUGGAAGUAAGGACAGUAACAAGAUGUCCAGGUGACACAGUAAAGCUGAAAUAAAGCUAUGAUUCUCUCAAACCAAUCUCACAAGAAAAGAAAUGAACCAGCAAAUAAUAAGCUCACAAGCAAUCCAAAAAUCAACAUAGACAAAUCCAUAUCUUCUAACAUCCAUACCCAACCAAAUAAUCCACAGAUAUAGCAAGAGAAGAGGGAAAACAUAUGACAAUGAAGAAGAACAGGGGGUUCAUGACAGUCAUACCUGAGAGUGCUCCCAUUCGACAAGAUCAACCUGGCUUCAAGUGACUGUAUCCCCUUCCAAAACAGGAGCUGCUAAUGGACAUGACACCCUCCUCCAGAUCUGAAAACCUCCAGAAGUCCAAGAUCUCUGGUUGCAGAAAAGAGGAAUGUGCAAUCAACAGAAUCCUAAUUCUCCUGCGGGAGUAGGAGGAUAAUCUAGCUAAAACCGAUGUAUGAUGGAAGUGAUCAGAUGGAUAGCCGAGAACUGAUCUUCUUCUCUGCUGCUUAAUGGAGACCUCUCCUAUCAGUAUGCGAUGCUGCGAUGAUUCUCCUGAAGCUCCCGGAAUUCUCCAGACCCCAAACGGUUGUGAUGUCAUGUUUUUUCUGUUUCCCCAAAAUGUCCAGCUCAGCUUCCCUCCACAAUUUUCCACCAAGAAUAUCUUCCAAGUGUCAAGCCCCCUAUCUGACGUGCCCUCAAGGAAAAAAGAAUAAUAAAAAAAAAAACCAAGUGCCCUCAGGAGAAAGAGAAUAAUAAUAUAUAUAUAUAUAACAAAACAAAACCAAGUAUUAAUAAUUAAACAUGCAAAAUAAAAUAUAAAUACAUUCACAUGCAAUUCCAAAAAAUUAGAAAGAAUUUUC